CAUGUCUUUUUGAUUAUAAUUUAAGGUUUAAUCUGCUCAAUGAGGAUUUAAAUUGCCGCGGUAUUUUGACCGUGCAAAGGUAGCAUAAUAAUUAGUUUUUUUAUUGAAAGCUGGAAUGAAUGAUUGGACGAGAGAAUUACUGUCUCUAUACAAUUUAUUUUUUAAUUUAACUUUUAAGUAAAAAGGCUUAAAUUUUUUUUAAAGACGAGAAGACCCUAUAGAGUUUGACAUAUUAAAGGUUAUAAUUUUUUUGGAAUUUUUUAUUUUAUAUAAAUUGAUUUGUUUGGUUGGGGUGACUGGAAGAUAAAUUAAACUCUUCUAUGUUAAUUUAAUCAAUGAUUUUUGAAUAGAUAAUCUGAUUUUUUCAAAUUUAAGAUAAAUUACCUUAGGGAUAACAGCGUAAUUUCUUUUUAGAGUUCUUAUUGAAAGGGAAGUUUGCGACCUCGAUGUUGGAUUAAAAUUUAUUUUUGGUGCAGAAGCUUUAAUAUUAAGUCUGUUCGACUUUUAAAAUUUUACAUGAUCUGAGU
rnacentral:rRNA from 1 species